UCGGAAUAUUGGGGCGUAAGCGCGCGCAGGCGGUCCUUUAAGUCUGAUGUGAAAGCCCACGGCUCUACCGGGGAGGGUCAUUGGAAACUGGGGGACUUGAGUGCUGAAGAGGAAAGCGGAAUUCCACGUGUAGCGGUGAAAUGCGUAGAGAUGUGGAGGAACACCAGUGGCGAAGGCGGCUUUCUGGUCUGUAACUGACGCUGAGGCGCGAAAGCGUGGGGAGCAAACAGGAUUAGAUACCCUGGUAGUCCACGCCGUAAACGAUGAGUGCUUAGUGUUAGAGGGCUUCCGCCCUUUAGUGCUGCAGCUAACGCAUUAAGCACUCCGCCUGGGGAGUACGGCCGCAAGGCUGAAACUCAAAGGAAUUGACGGGGGCCCGCACAAGCGGUGGAGCUUGUGGUUUAAUUCGAAGCAACGCUAAGAACCUUACCAGGUCUUGACAUCCUCUGACAGUGGUAGAGAUAGCAUCUUCCCCUUC
rnacentral:rRNA from 1 species